ensembl:lncRNA
GUGGUAGUAGCAGUAGUAAUAGUAGUGGUAGUCGUAGUAGUGGUAGUAGUAGCAGUAGUAAUAGUUGUAGUAGUAGCAGUAGUAAUAGUAGUGGUAGUAGCAGUAGUAGUGGUAGUAGCGGUAGCAGUAGUAAUAGUAGUGGUAGUAGUAGCAGUAGUAGUGGUAGUAGUAGCAGUAGUAGUGGUAGUAGUAGUAGGAGUAGUAGGAGUAGAAGUGGUGGUAGUAGUAGUAGUGGUAGUAGCGGUAGCAGUAGUAAUAGUAGUGGUAGUAGUAGUAGGAGUAGUAGGAGUAGUGGUGGGUGGUAGUAGUAGUAAUAGUAAUGGUAGUAGCGGUAGUAGUAGCAGUAGUAGUGUAGUAGCAGUAGUGAUAGUAAUAGUAGUGGUGGUAGUAGUAGUAGUAGUAGUAGUAUAGCAGUAGUAGUAGUGGUGGUGGUGGUAUUAGUAGCAGUAGUAGUGUAAUAGCAGUAGUAGUGGUAUUAGUAAUAGUAAUAGUAGUAGCAUAGUAGUAGCAGUAGUACUAAUAGUAGUGGUUGUAGUAGCAGUAGUAGUUGUAGUGGUGGUAGUAGCAGUAGUAGUAGUGGUGGUAUUGGUAAUAGGAAUAGUAGUGUAGUAGCAGUAGUAGUAG